rnacentral:tRNA from 1 species
CGAAAUCCCCUCGCUUACACCGAGAAAAUGUCUGUUUGAACCCAAACUAUUUUGA